CGAAUGCACGGUCACGCAUGGUUACCGUUGAAUACAUAAAAUACGUCACACUCAUGAAGUCACCAAAGCUAUUGCCGCAUAUUGUUGUAUAAAUUCCAUGCCCGCACAGUGUACGCGAUACUUUCUCAGAUUUACUUUUCGGUAAAUUUCGUAUUCUCGGUGAAAUUGUCGUCAAUGUCGAAUUUUAAUUAAGUUAUAAAAAAACAUAUUGCGCGACAGGCCCUUUAGAAGCUACAGAGCGGAUUAUUCUGAAAGGAUCAGUUUUGUCGAAGUGACAAUUACAUGACAGGGAACAGUGUUUCGAUAUAAAUAAUAAAGUAUAGCGUGAAGAACGUGUAAUAAUGUGAUCAACGAAGCGAAACGAAAUUACAUUAUACCGAAUGAAAAGAUCGUGAAGCGGUUUAACUAGCAGUUUCCGAGCGUAUAAUGAAAAAUUUGAUGGUAAUUUCAUCAGCGAACCGACCAUAAAAAUGAGUACGCUCGAACACAUUGAUCGCUUUAAUCCCACGAUAAUGAAUAAGGAUGCACGAAACGAGGACACAACCAUGUAUCGCAUUGAUUUACGUUAAAGGAAGCUGAUGGUCCCGCGGCAUCGGAAGCAUAACGAAAAGAAAAGGGCAAGAAGAGGCGUCGUCUCUCGUUGCGUUCGCGGCAAACAGCCCAUAAGCGGACAUACCAAUUUCACAUCUCGUCUCGAAUGGGAUGGUAGGGGGAUGAUACGAAUACAUAUACAGAAUGCAUAUGAUGUCAUGGACUGUUUCGUUCGGUUUACUCAUGGCAAGGGUAAAGUCUCUUCGCGGACAAUCCUUAAUACCGCGAUAAAUAUUCGAGAGUGUUGGUAAGAACCACGAAGAUACGAGUACGUAGCCAGCCGUACGCGUACUUAAGUAGACGACAGAUCACGUUUCUCCGUAUACGACCAUGACACUAAAUUACAGACUUAUACAGUGGUUGUCAAUCUGCAUUUACAAGUAAGAUCGCACCAUAUACGCGCGACGCGACGCAAUUAAUCAUCUUUUUCGUGUACUUGAGAAACCAGACUGCCCAGACCCAAUUCAAAGCGUCAUUGUCAUGCCGAGUGAAAAGGGAAGCCAGAAUUAGGACACUCGAUGCAAACACGAUCUUCAAAGGAAAUGCUACUCUUAUAUAUGAGGAAAUCGGAUCAUGUGUAGAGCCCCUGUAAAGCGGCAACCGUUAUUACAUCGCUGUCGGCUGUACGGUAGCAUCAUUAGCGUUGUUUUCGUACGAAUAAAAUUUCAAGAAACUAGAAGACUGUAGAAAUUGCGCUUUCUGGAAGACAGAUCAAAGACGACCCACGUCCGAUUUCAUGUACCAUGCACAAAGGCAUCUGUAUUACAUCGGAUCAAAGGGAGAAAAGAAUUUACUUUACGUUCUUCGCUUAACGUACGAUCUUUCUUCUAUUUUGCAUACGAGUUAAACAGUUGAAAUGUUCUAAGAUAAAAAACUAUUCACGAAUCUAAAAUAUCGUGUAUUCAAAUGUAACCAAUAUAAACGACAUAACUUUUCAAACGAUACUUCAUAAUUUUUCAUCAUCUUUUUCACUUUCAAAUGACCACAUAAUUUUUAUUAAAAAUAUUAUAAGAAUAUUGAUAAAUAUCGAUAAGAAAAUUUCGAUAAGUUUGAAAAGUUA